CUUUAAGUUUACUACAUUUUAAAGUCAAAUAUCUUACUUUUUACUCAACUACAUUUUGCAAAAUGAGUCGUUCCUUUUUAUUUAUGAGUGGAUAAAAAACUGAACAGGUCAAGCACGCGGCAAACCACCAAUCAGGGUACAGCGCGCGCUCUGUUUUGAACUUGAUUUGGUUACUGCUUACUUCACUGCGUCAGUGCAACGGCAUUACAUUUUGAGAGUGUCUUCACUUUUAAUAAAUGAUGGAAGAAUCAGGAACUCCUGACUCUAAAGUGCCAGUGCCACAACACCCGUGGCCUUAUUUGCGGGAUUUUUUUAUUUUUUUUUGAAGUCAUUGAAAAGAAGAAAGAGUCCUUAAUUUUCAACUGCCUUCUUUGCCUGCCUCGAAACUCAAACAUUUCUUCUUACUGGAAUUCUCCUUCCAAUCUUAGGAAACACGUUGAAGAAAGCAUGGUAGCCACUUCCAACAAUAUACUGCCCUAACAGCGCCAAGGAAAAGAAAAAUGGUGAGUGAGGAGGCUCCUUCAAACUCUAGACAGCUGAAGCUGCGAGAAACUAAGCUAGUCACACAGAAGACUGUGGAUCAAGCAGUGUUGAAUUUUGUCUGCAAUCCUUGUCCCGAAAUUUAAAACAUCCUGGACGUCGGAUGAACACAAUGUCAAACUGGGCCUGGACUACAUCAAGAACCAUAUGGAGGAACAGACUUCGAAUCAACCACCAGCUGAUGGUUCCAGUGCCUCUGAGGAAGAGGACUUCUUUGCAAGCAUGAAGCCUACUCAUGGUCAGGAAGGUAUCAAGCAAUUAGAUGGCUACCUGGCAUGCAAAGCUGAUGACAAAGAAAUUCUCAAGUCCUUCCCAGCAGUCUGUAAGUUGUCUUUGAAAGUCAACACUGCUUUACCCACUUCUGCAGCUUGUGAAUGUCUUUUCAGCACAGCAGAGCUUAUUUUCAGUCCUAGGAGGGCAAGAAUGGACUCAAAAAACUUUGAGAAUCAGCUCCUUCUCAAGCUGAAUAAAAAAUAUUGUCACUUUAGUUAGAUCAUCAGUGCCAUACUGUACUAACACGCUCACCAGAAAUGUCAUUUGACAUGUUGUGUAAUUUGUUUUGAUAUUUCCACACAUACACACACAAUAUAUACAUUUACCAAGUAUCACCAGGUUUCAUGUGAAGCAGUAUAAGAAUGCACAAACACUGACAAUCAUACAUGAAAGCAUUACAAAACUGAUUAAUCCAAGUUUUUAUAAAACUAAAAACUGUUACAAUAAACCUUAAAUUGAAUCUGUCUG